UAUGUCUCACCUGGCAUACCCCAAGCUGAGGCAGAACCUGAAGGGGUUCUCCUGAUGCUGGGGAGCUUCGGAUUGUAACCUGAAAUAGCCUCAGCUGCUACGCAAAGCAUUCUUGCGUUGGUGGUGCAUUUAAUAGCUUGCAUUAGUUUAUUUACAUGUGUAUUCUGGCUUCUACUGUAUAUUGAUCUGUGUCUCUGCAUUUUUAUGCCUAACUGCACUCUUCAAGGUGUAACUGUGCUGGUGUUGCUACAACUUGAAGGUUUAUCGUCAUGCAGCUUACCGAUGCUGGCGUGAAAUCGUACUGCUUUGAUGCACUCACAGCUGAUUUCUAGAUCAGUGGCUGAUCCUGUGAAAAUGUACGGUCCCCUGACAUAGGUCAGGUUGCUCACCAGUUUGUGGGAAGGAGUGGAUAUGGCUGGCAUGUCCAGCGUUCCUCCAGCAUAAUUCAGAAUGAGUUUCUGGAAAUCAAGACAUAUGUGAAAAGUUUUCAGGGUCUCAGGCAGAGCAGCCUCAGCCCAUCCACACUAGGCUGGGAAGAUGCAGUAGCGUGGAGAAAGUGGAGCUGGAGCCUGAACCCAGAUCUAAUCCAGUGUUUUGACUAAUUCCUCAUCACAUUGCUGCAGAGCAGAAAUGCCAUGUUCCUGAUCAUAUGAAAAACUGAAGGCAGAGCUUGGAAUGGGACUUGGAUCUCCAGCAUGGUAAGCCUGGUUUUUCUGUUUCUGUCUAUACUCAUCAUGCUAACACUGGCUGCACAUUGCCCAUUUUCAUUCUGGUGAGAACACCAGUUUUCUUU
rnacentral:lncRNA from 1 species